CCUACGGGAGGCAGCAGUAGGGAAUUUUCCGCAAUGGGCGAAAGCCUGACGGAGCAAUACCGCGUGAGGGAUGACUGCCUGUGGGUUGUAAACCUCUUUUCUCAAGGAAGAAGUCCUGACGGUACUUGAGGAAUAAGCAUCGGCUAACUCUGUGCCAGCAGCCGCGGUAAUACAGAGGAUGCAAGCGUUAUCCGGAAUCACUGGGCAUAAAGCGUCUGUAGGUGGUCUGGUAAGUCUGCUGUUAAAGACUGGGGCUCAACCCCAGAAAAGCAGUGGAAACUGCCAAACUUGAGUGUGGUAGAGGUAGAGGGAAUUCCUAGUGUAGCGGUGAAAUGCGUAGAUAUUAGGAAGAACACCAAUGGCGAAAGCACUCUACUGGACCAUAACUGACACUGAGAGACGACAGCUAGGGGAGCAAAUGGGAUUAGAUACCCCAGUAGUCCUAGCCGUAAACGAUGGAUACUAGAUGUUGCACGUAUUAACCCGUGCAGUAUCGUAGCUAAGGCGUUAAGUAUCCCGCCUGGGAAGUACGCUCGCAAGAGUGAAACUCAAAUGAAUUGACGG
rnacentral:rRNA from 1 species